GAGGAAUAUUGGUCAAUGGGCGCAAGCCUGAACCAGCCAAGUAGCGUGCAGGAAGACGGCCCUAUGGGUUGUAAACUGCUUUUAUACGAGAAUAAUUUGAUGCACGUGUGCGUUAUUGCAUGUAUCGUAUGAAUAAGGACCGGCUAAUUUCGUGCCAGCAGCCGCGGUAAUACGGAAGGUCCAGGCGUUAUCCGGAUUUAUUGGGUUUAAAGGGAGUGUAGGCGGUUUGUUAAGCGUGUUGUGAAAUUUAGGUGCUCAACAUUUAACUUGCAGCGCGAACUGUCAGACUUGAGUACACGCAACGUAUGCGGAAUUCAUGGUGUAGCGGUGAAAUGCUUAGAUAUCAUGAAGAACUCCGAUUGCGAAGGCAGCAUACGGGAGUGUAACUGACGCUUAAGCUCGAAGGUGCGGGUAUCGAACAGGAUUAGAUACCCUGGUAGUCCGCACAGUAAACGAUGGAUGCCCGCUGUUAGCGCCUGGCGUUAGCGGCUAAGCGAAAGCAUUAAGCAUCCCACCUGGGGAGUACGCCGGCAACGGUG
rnacentral:rRNA from 1 species